rnacentral:rRNA from 1 species
CGGACGGGUGAGUAACACGUGAGCAACCUGCCUUUCAGAGGGGGACAACAGUUGGAAACGACUGCUAAUACCGCAUAAAACAACGGAACCGCAUGAUUCUGUUAUCAAAGGAGAAAUCCGCUGAAAGAUGGGCUCGCGUCUGAUUAGAUAGUUGGUGAGGUAACGGCCCACCAAGUCGACGAUCAGUAGCCGGACUGAGAGGUUGAACGGCCACAUUGGGACUGAGACACGGCCCAGACUCCUACGGAAGGCAGCAG